ensembl:lncRNA
CAGGUAGCUGGGUCCAGGGGCAGGCAGAAGGUCAUACACAGGAGGAGGCAGGUAGCUGGGUCCAGGGGCAGGCAGAAGGUCAUACACAGGAGGAGGCAGGUAGCUGGGUCCAGGGGCAGGCAGGAGGUCAUACACAGGAGGAGGCAGGUAGCUGGGUCCAGGGGCAGGCAGGAGGUCAUACACAGGAGGAGGCAGGUAGCUGGGUCCAGGGGCAGGCAGGAGGUCAUACACAGGAGGAGGCAGGUAGCUGUGUCCAGGGGCAGGCAGAAGGUCAUACACAGGAGGAGGCAGGUAGCUGGGUCCAGGGGCAGGCAGAAGGUCAUACACAGGAGGAGGCAGGUAGCUGGGUCCAGGGGCAGGCAGAAGGUCAUACACAGGAGGAGGCAGGUAGCUGGGUCCAGGGGCAGGCAGGAGGUCAUACACAGGAGGAGGCAGGUAGCUGUGUCCAGGGGCAGGCA